GAGCCAGUGAUGAUGUUAUUUUGUUGGAAUUACCGACUGAGGAUUAAUCCGGAGAUGUCGUUAGGCAUUCUGAGGCUCCAU